rnacentral:misc_RNA from 1 species
UUUCCGUAGGUGAACCUGCGGAAGGAUCAUUAAUGAGUUGUCAUGGGGUUCGAUGCUGGCAGCCAGUUUUUGGAUGCAUGUGCUUGCCCUAACAAUCAUCUUCUUCCAAACACCUGUGCACAUUUUUGAGGGAGUCUUGAGUUGGUUGCCGCUCUUGGGUGAUUUUCUCACAUUCCCUUAAAUCAUUAUACGCUAGUAACAAUGUUGAACGUGCUCUGUGCCGCAAGGCCAUUAAUAUAAUACAACUUUUAACAACGGAUCUCUUGGCUCUC